GUUUCCCUGGUGUAGUUGAUUAUCACAUCUGUUUACCACACAGAAGGUCACCAGGUCGGAACUGGUGGAAGACA